rnacentral:rRNA from 1 species
CCUACGGGGGGCAGCAGUAGGGAAUUUUCGUCAAUGGGCGCAAGCCUGAACGAGCAAUGCCGCGUGAACGAGGAAGGUCUUCGGAUCGUAAAGUUCUGUUGAAGGGGAAAAAGAGCGGAGAGAGGAAAUGGUCUCCGAUUGAUAUUACCCUUCGAGGAAGUCACGGCUAACUACGUGCCAGCAGCCGCGGUAAUACGUAGGUGGCGAGCGUUAUCCGGAAUGAUUGGGCGUAAAGGGUGCGUAGGCGGCCUGCUAAGUCUGGAGUGAAAGGUACAGGCACAACGGGUACAGGCUCUGGAAACUGGCGGGCUAGAGAGCAGGAGAGGGCGGUGGAACUCCAUGUGUAGCGGUAAAAUGCGUAGAUAUAUGGAAGAACACCAGUGGCGAAGGCGUCCGCCGGGCCUGUUACUGACGCUGAGGCACGAAAGCGUGGGGAGCAAAUAGGAUUAGAUACCCGGGUAGUC